GACGAACGCUGGCGGCGUGCCUAAUACAUGCAAGUAGAACGCUGAAGGAGGAGCUUGCUCUUCUGGAUGAGUUGCGAACGGGUGAGUAACGCGUAGGUAACCUGCCUGGUAGCGGGGGAUAACUAUUGGAAACGAUAGCUAAUACCGCAUAACAGUAGAUGUUGCAUGACAUUUGCUUAAAAGGUGCAAUUGCAUCACUACCAGAUGGACCUGCGUUGUAUUAGCUAGUUGGUGGGGUAACGGCUCACCAAGGCGACGAUACAUAGCCGACCUGAGAGGGUGAUCGGCCACACUGGGACUGGGACACGGCCUAGACUCCUACGGGAGGCAGCAGUAGGGAAUCUUCGGCAAUGGACGGAAGUCUGACCGAGCAACGCCGCGUGAGUGAAGAAGGGUUUCGGAUCGUAAAGCUCUGUUGUAAGAGAAGAACGAGUGUGAGAGUGGAAAGUUCACACUGUGACGGUAUCUUACCAGAAAGGGACGGCUAACUACGUG
rnacentral:rRNA from 1 species